CUGUCAUUUUAGCUUUAUAAAUAAUCCGUCUGAGAAAAGGAAUUGUGUUUAAUUUUAUAUUCCCAAUAGCGAGGCUCUUCUUUCUAAGUUGGAUGGCGUUAAAUCUCCGUGUAUCAUCAACGUGAAAACAAUCGCAGUAUUUAAGGUUGGUAUACUACAAUGCAUUACAGUUAUCGUGUUAUUUUAUAGUCAAAUUUCCGCUUUGUUGUUUUUAUUCUUGUACUGUAAUUUUAUAAAUACACUGUACAAAAUUAUGGCGUCAUACUUGUGUUUAUAAUGCCUCUAAUUUGACCCUAUUGUGUGUGUAUAUGUACUGUGUCACUGUGAUACAUAUGUACAUGUUUUGAGUUAAACGAAUUGUUUAAUAAAUUUUUGCUGAAGUAUGAUACCUGUUUGUAUGGAUUUUUACAUAUAUGUGCACUGUGUAUAGUUUAUACAUUGGUUCUCAGAUGAGUCUGAAGGUAUAUUGUUAUUCAGUUAUUUGUAUGUAUUGUUUUAUACAUUUUGCUGAGUAUGAUGCCUGUUUGUAUCUAGUUGUGGAUGGUUGUGAGAAUAUAAUUUUAGAGGUUACAUGUUUGCUAAUUUUAGAGAUGAUAAUGUAUCAAAUAAUAAUUUUCUUGUUAUGACUUUGUAGAAAGAGAUUUACUUGAGUGGUUGGUUGGUCUUGAGCCUGUUCAGGAUGGAUAUGAUAAUGAAAGAGGUGAUCAAGGUGAUAGGGCAGAAAGUGAUGACGUUUAAGUGAGAAGAUGAAAGUGAUGAGGAGGAAAUCGCCCACGCUGUAGCAUUCAAGUGCAUCGGUGAUGCUCGUGAGAAAAACUACCAACAUCAUUUGGAAAAUUAAAUUAAGACAUAAUACCUCACUCUUCAUGAACAAGAUAAAACAGUGAACGUAAGAAUAUGGCCAGCACCAUUGAAUCCAAGGGACCCAAGUGCAAUAGGCAAUUCCGGCUUUUAGUUUAUUUUAUUAAAAUUUUUCAGCAUAAUCAGCAAUAUGAUACCUUACUGCCUGUUGCCCCCUGCACACAUAAAUUAAAAGCUGGAAUUGCCUAUUGACUAGACUAUGGAACUGGAUGACAACAUGUUGGUUAUAUUGCUUUUCAACUAUGCAAGUAUUUGCACCCACUAAUUGCUGCAGAUGUUGUGGAUGUUUAUUGUCUAUGUUCAGUGUAUCAAGUAUAGGGUUGACUUUUUUAAUUAAAAAGGGUGGAU